rnacentral:misc_RNA from 1 species
UUUAAGUGGGUAAACAGAGC